rnacentral:sRNA from 1 species
UUGCUGCUGCUCAGUGCAGCCAGUCGCGGAGGCGGGGAGGCUGCGCGGUCAGAGGCGCCUGGAGCGAGCGAAUCCUGGCCCACCGCCUGCCCAACCGCGUGACCUUGAUUGAGUUAAUGAACUUCACGCCUCAGCGUCCAGCGAAACCCCAAAGAGUCAGGUAGGGACCCUGCUCUUCCGCAGCCGCAGCCGCCUGACGCACCUAUCCCUGUCUCGACGGGCAUCCGAAUCCUCCCUGUCGUCUGAAUCCUCCGAAUCUUCUGAUGCAGGUCUCUGCAUGGAUUCCCCCAGCCCUAUGGACCCCCACAUGGCGGAGCAGACGUUUGAACAGGCCAUCCAGGCAGCCAGCCGGAUCAUUCGAAACGAGCAGUUUGCCAUCAGACGCUUCCAGUCUAUGCCGGUGAGGCUGCUGGGCCACAGCCCCGUGCUUCGGAACAUCACCAACUCCCAGGCGCCCGACGGCCGGAGGAAGAGCGAGGCGGGCAGUGGAGCUGCCAGCAGCUCUGGGGAAGACAAGGAGAAUGAUGGAUUUGUCUUCAAGAUGCCAUGGAAGCCCACACAUCCCAGCUCCACCCAUGCUCUGGCAGAGUGGGCCAGCCGCAGGGAAGCCUUUGCCCAGAGACCCAGCUCAGCCCCCGACCUGAUGUGUCUCAGUCCUGACCGGAAGAUGGAAGUGGAGGAGCUCAGCCCCCUGGCCCUAGGUCGCUUCUCUCUGACCCCUGCAGAGGGGGAUACUGAGGAAGAUGAUGGAUUUGUGGACAUCCUAGAGAGUGACUUAAAGGAUGAUGAUGCAGUUCCCCCAGGCAUGGAGAGUCUCAUUAGUGCCCCACUGGUCAAGACCUUGGAAAAGGAAGAGGAAAAGGACCUCGUCAUGUACAGCAAGUGCCAGCGGCUCUUCCGCUCUCCGUCCAUGCCCUGCAGCGUGAUCCGGCCCAUCCUCAAGAGGCUGGAGCGGCCCCAGGACAGGGACACGCCCGUGCAGAAUAAGCGGAGGCGGAGCGUGACCCCUCCUGAGGAGCAGCAGGAGGCUGAGGAACCUAAAGCCCGCGUCCUCCGCUCAAAAUCACUGUGUCACGAUGAGAUCGAGAACCUCCUGGACAGUGACCACCGAGAGCUGAUUGGAGAUUACUCUAAGGCCUUCCUCCUACAGACAGUAGAUGGAAAGCACCAAGACCUCAAGUACAUCUCACCAGAAACGAUGGUGGCCCUGUUGACGGGCAAGUUCAGCAACAUCGUGGAUAAGUUUGUGAUUGUAGACUGCAGAUACCCCUAUGAAUAUGAAGGCGGGCACAUCAAGACUGCGGUGAACUUGCCCCUGGAACGCGACGCCGAGAGCUUCCUGCUGAAGAGCCCCAUCACAGCCUGUAGCCUGGACAAGAGAGUCAUCCUCAUUUUCCACUGUGAAUUCUCAUCUGAGCGUGGGCCCCGCAUGUGCCGUUUCAUCAGGGAACGAGACCGUGCUGUCAACGACUACCCCAGCCUCUACUACCCCGAGAUGUAUAUCCUGAAAGGCGGCUACAAGGAGUUCUUCCCUCAGCACCCGAACUUCUGUGAACCCCAGGACUACCGGCCCAUGAACCACGAGGCCUUCAAGGAUGAGCUAAAGACCUUCCGCCUCAAGACUCGCAGCUGGGCUGGGGAGCGGAGCCGGCGGGAGCUCUGUAGCCGGCUGCAGGACCAGUGAGGGGCCUGCGUCAGUCCUGCUACCUCCCUUGCCUUUCGAGGCCUGAAGCCAGCUGCCCUAUGGGCCUGCCGGGCUGAGGGCCUGCUGGAGGCCUCAGGUGCUGUCCAUGGGAAAGAUAGUGUGGGUGUCCUGCCUGUCUGCCCCAGCCCAGAUUCCCCUGUGUCAUCCCAUCGUUUUCCAUAUCCUGGUGCCCCCACCCCUGGAAGAGCCCAGUCUGUUGAGUUAGUUAAGUUGGGUUAAUACCAGCUUAAAGGCAGUAUUUUGUGUCCUCCAGG